rnacentral:rRNA from 1 species
AUGCCAGCCGCCGCGGUAAUACGGAGGGUGCAAGCGUUGUCCGGAAUCACUGGGUGUAAAGGGUGUGCAGGCGGGGCAGCAAGUCGGAGGUGAAAGUCCAUGGCUCAACCACGGAAGUGCCUUCGAAACUGUUGCUCUUGAGUCCCGGAGAGGUUGCCGGAAUUCGUGGUGUAGCGGUGAAAUGCGUAGAUAUCACGAGGAACACCAGAGGCGAAAGCGGGCAACUGGACGGGUACUGACGCUCAGGCACGAAAGCGCGGGGAGCAAACAGGAUUAGAAACCCGAGUAGUCC